rnacentral:rRNA from 1 species
AACGAACGCUGGCGGCAUGCCUAACACAUGCAAGUCGAACGAGACCUUCGGGUCUAGUGGCGCACGGGUGCGUAACGCGUGGGAACCUGCCCUUAGGUUCGGAAUAACUCCCCGAAAGGGGUGCUAAUACCGGAUAAUGUCUUCGGACCAAAGAUUUAUCGCCUUUGGAUGGGCCCGCGUUGGAUUAGCUAGUUGGUAGGGUAAAAGCCUACCAAGGCGACGAUCCAUAGCUGGUCUGAGAGGAUGAUCAGCCACACUGGGACUGAGACACGGCCCAGACUCCUACGGAAGGCGGCAGUGGGGAAUGUUGGAAAGUGGGCGAAAGCCUGAUCCAGCAAUGCCGGGUGAGUGAUGAAGGCCUUAGGGUUGUAAAGCUCUUUUACCCGGGAUGAUAAUGACAGUACCGAGAGAGUAAGCUCCGGCUAACUCCGUG